UUCUAGUAAAUCCGUCCUUAUACUAUGCAAUAUGACAUUAUUAGUAUCGUUUCAAUGAUCCUGUCGGGUUUACUGUAAUUAAUCCUUUAAGUCUGAACUACCUUUAUUUCAGGUUUCUCGAUCGAGCCUCAAUGUUCAGUGGAGUUUAAAGUAAAGAUUAAAUUCUCUUCUGCAUAAGAUCCAUGUGUCAACAUCUUUACUAGUCUGGUGUUAUGACACAGUUGACAUUAUUUCCUCUUUUUCUGUUAUUUACUUGCAAGUAUCUCAAAAAAAGCACAAAGGGCACUGAGAGUCUUGGACAGUGGGAUUGAUGAUACACAAAUAUGAGAAAAUCACUGGCAAAAAUGCAGUCAGUAUCUGAUCUGAUGCGGGGACAAUGUUAGAAGGAAAGGCUGUGGCAGCAAACAAACUUACAAAGAGGAAGUAAUGUAAGAAGAAAACCACACGACAAAGUGGCACUUAGUGUUUUGGGGUAAAAGGGCGUACUUUAACAUGAAAGACAAGCUUUAGAUCUGUAUCUGUUCUUUCAUUCUUUUCUUUUUCUUUUUUUUUCAACUGGAAGCAAGCUUUACAGAUUUUUGAAAUGCUCGUUCUAUCAUAGCAUUCUCCCUUGUUUUUCCAAGGGAAGAAUGUACGAAGAUUGACUAUUGUGUUUAUUUUAGUGUUUUGGAAGUACUUGGCUUUCUGUUUUUUUCGAGAAUUGAUUUGUCUUAUAAAAUUUCAAAUUCUUCUACAUAUUUUAGGAAGUUUAGCAGCUUGUUUCCUAUUGUCAUGCCAUCCUAGUGUUUUCGUGUUUUAGGCUUAAAUACUCAUUUCUGUUGCAUGUUCAUUUAUCUGCAUGCUGACCUGUAACAAUUCUGAUGUAAAAAGAAGAUUUUGAAAUGUAGCUUCUCUUCUUUCCCCUGCAGGUCUGUUAUAUCUAACUUAAACUAUGCUUUUUUUUCCCCAUUUUCCUUGAUCUUAAUUUAUUUGGUGAAUGUACUCUUAAUGAAGCCUUUUACUGUGCAUCUGAGACUUGGCAAAAGGAGCUGAGGUUGGUGAUGAUGAGAACUUCCUAUCUUCAUGUUUUCUGCAAGCUCUAAGUGUGUCUGUUGGCUGUUAGAUACUGGCACUGUUCACAUUUAUUUGUGGAGGCUUAAAAAAUAGAAUAUUUUGCCAUAUGCUUUUGCAGUGUAAGGAGGAGGAAUGAGGCAUCCUCAGAAGAGCAUGUUUUCCUGUUUACUGCUCUGUAUUGCAAUUCUACAGUAAGAUGAAUAAUUUAAUCUUCUGCUUGGUAUUCAAGGUGUCCCAUUUCUGAGUUUUGCACCUCUGUACUCUAAAGGAUGUUACACUAUAAUAUAUUUAAAACUUUAUUUCCUCAGCAUGCAUGUUAGAAUGACUCUGGAAAAAAAAAAAAAAGACAAACACCUGUUUUUAUACAGUUGGUUUCUAAUUUUGAUUUUUCUGCCUGUGUUUUAUUUCUCCGUAGGAACAUGUGACAUACUCACAUUUUCAUUAGAACAACAUUAAGAUACUGUAGUCGUUCCACCAUUAUAAAUGCAUGGAAAACAAGUAUUUGGAUUUUGGGGUUGGCUAGCAUUCACGUAGUAAUAACAAUAAAAUCCUUUCUAGCUUGUCUUUUAGUUUAUAACAUUUGAUUCUAUAAGUGCUCCUCUAUCAAAACUAGAUUAAUUGAUAUUUCAAUACAUAUUAAGUUGAUUAAAUGUAUUAAAUUCAUGUUUUCCCUACAAUAUUCCUAUGUUUUCCCAAUAAUAUUCCAAUCACAGGAAGACUUGAGAAGAUUGUACCCGUCUUCACAUGACAAAAAUGCCUUUUCCAUAAAAAUGAACGUACAGCUGUGCAUGUUCACAAAACCAAAACUACAUCUGCUUAGCCAUCUCGUAUUGAUUAGUCUUUUAACUAGCUAUUCAGGAGUAAGAAAAAUUCUCAUCAGCAAGAAGGAAAGAGUAGUUGAUUGGGAAAAAAUAGGAGCUUUUCAAUUGCAAAACUUUGCUUAAGCAAUCUUUUAUCUGGCUUCUGAUUGAAAUUCCUCUCUUCCCCUUCUGGUGUUCUGUUUCUUUACUAUGUAACAUUUUAUAUAUGCAAUUGAACAAACUCAGAUUUAGCACAAAUACCAGUCUCAAAUUAAAAAUGACAGUGGUUUUGACCUUGUCUAUUGAACACCGAUUCCGUGUGGUAUCUGAUAAUGUGGUUGCUGUUUUGAAGCCUUAACUUGCAAAUAAAAGGUGUCAGUGUUUUAGAGCAGGUUCCAUCUUCCUAGGACAUACAUCAAAUGCAGCAACAGGGAACUGUAUUAAUUCUCAACAUGCAUAUUCCCAAAAUGAAUUUAUAUGCAUAGUAGGUAUAACAAGAUUUAAAAAGGGACUUAUUUGAGUGGACUUGGUAUCACUGACACAUCAGGCUUCACAGUUAGCUCUCGUGUAGCAUAAGAAAGACUGAGAAGAGAAGAUCUGUGCCAAUUAACUGAUGUAAUGUGCAAUGUAAUUGGAACUCAAGUAAUAAAAUGCAUGAAGAAACCGUUCUGUAAAACAAUGAGAGGUUUAACUGAACUUUUAAGAGGCUGGAGACACAUUCCUGCAGCAAAGAGCACACAAAGCAGGAUAAAAGUGGCUUUAAAUAUUUAUUUACUUAUUUAUUUAACUUAUCUUUAAAUAAGUGGUUCUCUUGUUCAGUCGGCCAGUAUUCCAUGAGAAGAGGCGGUCACGUCACCUCAUGUCACCUUGUUCUGUUGCCUCAAGUCUUUAUUUUUAUCAGAAGUGCUGAAGAGUUUCAUUUUGGUGAGCCUAGAUGGUGGUUUGAUUCCAUGCUGGAAUGUCAUUUUAAAAUUAGCACAGCAGGCAUUUUAAGACCUCACAAAUGAAACAAAUGAAACUUUUACCACUUACACAAUUUAUACAGAGUCCAAUGAAUCCUGUGAGCGUGGAGGCCCAGUCCAACCUGGCAUGAAUUUCAAGUGAGUACAAGAUGCCAUGAAGUUCAUGUUGCACGUGGGCUGGUGUGGAAGAAAAGCUUGGCUGCCCUCUUGGAGCUGCUGCCUGCUGCAGGACGUGUCUGUGUGCACAUAUGUUCCCUUCUUGUAAUUGUGCUACCGAACACACGUGCCUAGCUAGUAUUGGCUGGUGACAGCCACCGUGAGCUGGGAAAAGCAGGUCAAUUCACCUCAGGAUCCACCAGCAUCAGGCAGACACUAAUGAGAAGAAAACUGUAUAAAGAGGUAUCCUGAAUCUGUGCAUACUGAGAGAAGACGUAGUGAGCAGAGCUUACCAGAAAGCACUAAAGGACAGCCAACCUUACAUCUCUCGGAAGUGUUACUACCCAAAUCAGCUGGCAGGAUUGUUAGACUGGAAAAAAAUGGAAAUGAU